GAUUAACGCUGGCGGCGUGCAUGAACAUGCAAGUCGAGCGCGGUACGCAGCUUGCUGUGUAUCUAGCGGCGCACGGGUGAGUAACACGUGAGCAACCUACCUUUGAGUUCGGGAUAGCCCUGAGAAAUCAGGAUUAAUACCGGAUGUGGUUGCAGAGAGACAUCUCUUUGUAAGUAAAGGCGCAAGCCGCUCAAUGAUGGGGCNCGCGGCUUAUUAGCUUGUUGGUGGGAAGUGGCCUACCAAGGCGA
rnacentral:rRNA from 1 species